rnacentral:lncRNA from 1 species
UCUCUCUAAAUAUAAGCUAGAUGAGGACGAGGAUGAAGAUGAUGCUGAUCUCUCAAAAUAUAAUCUUGAUGCCAGUGAAGAGGAAGAUAGUAACAAAAAGAAAAGCAAUAGGCGGAGCCGCUCAAAGUCUCGAUCGUCUCACUCAAGGUCUUCAUCACGCUCAUCCUCCCCCUCAAGUUCAAGGUCCAGGUCCAGGUCCCGUUCAAGAAGCUCUUCCAGCUCGCAGUCCAGGUCUCACUCCGGUUCCAGAGAACAUUCCAGAUCCCGUGGUUCGAAAUCAAGAUCCAGCUCCAGGUCCCACAGGGGCUCUUCUUCCCCAAGAAAAAGAUCUUACUCGAGUUCUUCAUCAUCUCCUGAAAGAGACAGGAAGAGGAGUCGCUCUAGACCUUCUUCACCAGCUGUUCGCAAAAAAAGACGAACGAGAUCACGGUCACCCGAAAGCCAGGUGAUUGGUGAAAACAUUAAACAACCCUGAGCCCAGGGCCAACCCCUACGGAACACCACCACUUUGCCCAGGCACCACAGGUCGUCCUCCGGAUCAACCCAUUCUGGUUCCCGUUCAAGUUCAAAAAAGAAAUAAUGUAUUAAAAUUUACAUCUUUAAAAAACAUUGAGUACAGUGCAUGAAGCAUAUUUUUUAGGAAGUUGAUGUCUCAUUUGGUCAGAAGUACUACAUCUGCUAGUAGAGGUGCAUGCCUUUAUUGCUUUUCAAAACAAUAAAACUGUUCAUUUGUGAAACUGAAAGUAAAUUGCAUUUUAAGCCAUACUGUUCCCC